UACGUAGGGGGCCAGCGUUGUUCGGAAUUACUGGGUUUAAAGGGUGCGUAGGUGGGCAGGUAAGUCAGUGGUGAAAUCUCCGGGCUUAACUCGGAAACUGCCAUUGAUACUAUCUGUCUUGAAUACCGUGGAGGUUAGCGGAAUAUGUCAUGUAGCGGUGAAAUGCUUAGAUAUGACAUAGAACACCAAUUGCGAAGGCAGCUGGCUACACGAAUAUUGACACUGAUGCACGAAAGCGUGGGGAUCAAACAGG
rnacentral:rRNA from 1 species